AGUGAACGCUGGCGGUAGGCCUAACACAUGCAAGUCGAACGGCAGCACAGUAAGAGCUUGCUCUUACGGGUGGCGAGUGGCGGACGGGUGAGGAAUACAUCGGAAUCUACUUUUUCGUGGGGGAUAACGUAGGGAAACUUACGCUAAUACCGCAUACGACCUACGGGUGAAAGCAGGGGAUCUUCGGACCUUGCGCGAUUGAAUGAGCCGAUGUCGUAUUAGCUAGUUGGGGGGGUAAAGGCCCACCAAGGCGACGAUCCGUAGCUGGUCUGAGAGGAUGAUCAGCCGCACUGGAACGGGGACACGGUCCAGACUCCUACGGGAGGGAGCAGUGGGGAAUAUGGGGCAAUGGGCGCAAGCCUGAUCCAGCCAUACCGCGUGGGUGAAGAAGGCCUUCGGGUUGUAAAGCCCUUUUGUUGGGAAAGAAAAGCAGCAGGUUAAUACCCCGCUGUUCUGACGGUACUCAAAGAAGAAGCACCGGCUAACUUCGUG
rnacentral:rRNA from 1 species